GACGAACGCUGGCGGCGUGCCUAAUACAUGCAAGUUGAGCGAUGAAGCUUGGUGCUUGCUCCACUUUGAAGAGCAGCGGACGGGUGAGUAACGCGUGGGGAACCUGCCUUUGAGCGGGGGACAACAUUUGGAAACGAAUGCUAAUACCGCAUAACAACUUUAACCAUAAGUUUUAAGUUUGAAAGAUGCAAUUGCAUCACUCAAUGAUGAUCCCCCGUUGUAUUAGGUAGUUGGUGAGGUAAAGGCCCACCAAGGCGAUGAUACAUAGCCGACCUGAGAGGGGGAUCGGCCACAUUGGGACUGGGAAACGGGCCAAACUCCUACGGGGGGCAGCAGGAGGGAAUCUUCGGCAAUUGACGAAAGUCCUACCGGGCAACGCCGGGUGAGGGAAGGAGGUUUUCCGAUCGUAAAACUCUGGUGGUAGGGAAGAACGUUGGGGGGAGUGGAAAGCGCAUCAAGUGACGGUAACUAACCAGAAAGGGACGGCUAACUACGUG
rnacentral:rRNA from 1 species